rnacentral:rRNA from 1 species
UACGUAGGGGGCUAGCGUUGUCCGGAAUCAUUGGGCGUAAAGAGCGCGUAGGCGGCCAGAUAAGUCCGGUGUGAAAGUCAAAGGCUCAACCUUUGAAUGCCGCUGGAAACUGUCUGGCUAGAGUCCGGGAGGGGCGAGUGGAAUUCCUGGUGUAGCGGUGAAAUGCGCAGAUAUCAGGAGGAACACCCGUGGCGAAGGCGGCUCUCUGGGACGUGACUGACGCUGAGACGCGAAAGCGUGGGGAGCGAACAGG